AGCUCCAAUAGUGUAUACUAAUGUUGCUGCAGUUAAAAAGCUCGUAGUUGGAUUUCGGUUAAUAAGAUGCUAGUCUACUUUUUUAUAAGUACGCACUGUCAUUUUAUUUCCUUCUUUUCAGUAACAAAAUUUAUUUUGUUCUGAAUUAUUUACUUUGAAAAAAUUAGAGUGUUCAAAUCAGGCGUAUUUUGCCUUUGAAUAUAUUAGCAUGGGAUAAUGAAAUAAGACUUUUUGCCUUAUUCUCGUUGGUUUUUGAGGCUAAAGUAAUGAUUAAUAGGGAUAGUUGGGGUCAUUAGUAUUUAAUUGUCAGAGGUGAAAUUCUAAGAUUAAUUAAAGACUAACUACUGCGAAAGCAUUUGACAAGGAUGUUUUCAUUA
rnacentral:rRNA from 1 species